ACUGUGUGUUGUUGGGUAGGGGAGCGUUCUGUAAGCCUGCGAAGGUGGCCUGUGAGGGUUGCUGGAGGUAUCAGAAGUGCGAAUGCUGACAUAAGUAACGAUAAAGCGGGUGAAAAGCCCGCUCGCCGGAAGACCAAGGGUUCCUGUCCAACGUUAAUCGGGGCAGGGUGAGUCGACCCCUAAGGCGAGGCCGAAAGGCGUAGUCGAUGGGAAACGGGUUAAUAUUCCCGUACUUGGUGUUACUGCGAAGGGGGGACGGAGAAGGCUAUGUUGGCCGGGCGACGGUUGUCCCGGUUUAAGCGUGUAGGUGUGUGUUCCAGGUAAAUCCGGUUCACUUUAACACUGAGGCGUGAUGACGAGGCACUACGGUGCUGAAGCAACAAAUGCCCUGCUUCCAGGAAAAGCCUCUAAGCAUCAGGUAACAUCAAAUCGUACCCCAAACCGACACAGGUGGUCAGGUAGAGAAUACCAAGGCGCUUGAGAGAACUCGGGUGAAGGAACUAGGCAAAAUGGUGCCGUAACU
rnacentral:rRNA from 1 species